rnacentral:tRNA from 1 species
CGGGCUGUGGCGCAGCUUGGUAGCGCACUUGACUGGGGGUCAAGGGGUUUAUCCCCUCCGGUCGGCCCGG